UGGGGAAUAUUGGACAAUGGGGGCAACCCUGAUCCAGCCAUGCCGCGUGUGUGAAGAAGGCCUUUUGGUUGUAAAGCACUUUAAGCAGGGAGGAGAGGCUAAUGGUUAAUACCCAUUAGAUUAGACGUUACCUGCAGAAUAAGCACCGGCUAACUCUGUGCCAGCAGCCGCGGUAAUACAGAGGGUGCGAGCGUUAAUCGGAAUUACUGGGCGUAAAGCGAGUGUAGGUGGCUCAUUAAGUCACAUGUGAAAUCCCCGGGCUUAACCUGGGAACUGCAUGUGAUACUGGUGGUGCUAGAAUAUGUGAGAGGGAAGUAGAAUUCCAGGUGUAGCGGUGAAAUGCGUAGAGAUCUGGAGGAAUACCGGUGGCGAAGGCAGCUUCCUGGCAUAACAUUGACACUGAGAUUCGAAAGCGUGGGUAGCAAACAGGAUUAGAUACCCUGGUAGUCCACGCCGUAAAACGAUGUCUACUAGCCGUUGGGGUCCUUGAGACUUUAGUGGCGCAGUUAACGCGAUAAGUAGACCGCC
rnacentral:rRNA from 1 species